UCAAUAAGCGGAGGAAAAGAAACUAACAAGGAUUCCCCUAGUAACUGCGAGUGAAGCGGGAAAAGCUCAAAUUUAAAAUCUGGCAGCCUUUGGCCGUCCGAGUUGUAAUUUAGAGAAGCGUCUUCCGCGCUGGACCGUGCACAAGUCUCCUGGAAUGGAGCGUCAUAGAGGGUGAGAAUCCCGUCUUUGGCACGGAUGCCUGGUGCUUCUGUGAUGCGCUCUCGAAGAGUCGAGUUGUUUGGGAAUGCAGCUCAAAAUGGGUGGUGAACUCCAUCUAAAGCUAAAUAUUGGCGAGAGACCGAUAGCGAACAAGUACCGUGAGGGAAAGAUGAAAAGCACUUUGGAAAGAGAGUGAAACAGUACGUGAAAUUGUUGAAAGGGAAACGCUUGAAGUCAGUCGCGUCGACUGAGACUCAGCCUUGCCUUGGCUUGGUGUACUUCUCGGCCCGACGGGUCAGCAUCAAUUUUGCCCUUCGGAUAAUGGCAGGGGAAAGGUGGCACCUUUACGGGUGUGUUAUAGUCUCCUGUCGCAUGCGAGGGGUGGGAUUGAGGAACUCAGCGCGCACCUCAGUGUCGGGGCUUCGGCCCACGUCACGCGCUUAGGAUGCUGGCGUAAUGGCUUUAAACGACCCGUCUUGAAACACGG
rnacentral:rRNA from 1 species